GUAUGCUCAGGAGAUACCAGGUAGAGGGCCAUGUCCCCUGCUACAGAGGAACCUCUACUCUAUACUAUACAUUCUGGUACUCCACAGUUCUUGACCAUGUACUUUGUGUUCCUAUCUGUAGUAGGCUGGCUGUCCUCAGGAUCAGUAAGACUGACACAGACGUCCCCCCCUCCCCAGGUCUGGGGGCUUCUACUUUCCCUGAAAACAACUACUGUACCUUAAAGGCUCUUGCAUGGUGAUCUUUAUGCAUAUGAUUUAGCCCCUUCUCCUGAUUUCUCUUCAAACUUCUGACUCUGUGGAAUCCAGCUGGCUUAGACAGCUGUUCUCCCUUCCCUCACCAAUAUCCAUCAAUGAACAGAACCUGCAGCUGCCUGAAAGUUUCAAGCAUCCCUGAAGACUUUUGGAUAAUUAAGGUCCUCUACUGCAUGUCAAAGCCACAGCUUACACAUUACCAAGCCAUAAUGUCUGAUCAGUGAAGUGAUCUAUUAAGGAUGGGAAGAUAAUGCUUCAUCAGAAACAACACUGGAAGCUGAAAUGGAAGAAGCCAUUGGGGAACAUGACAGUGAGCCAUCUCACAAAUUCUCAGUGAAGCCUAGGCAUAUAUUCAGACCGUCAGAUCUUAAUAGAACAUAAUGUACUCCAGAAAGGAUGCAGAGCAUGCAGCAGGAGCAUAUGUAAAUACCAAAUCAGAGGUCAUAGGUGGAGAUAGAAAAUAUUAUUUGAUGGAGCAGAGCACCGCCCGCUCCCCCACCCCGC